rnacentral:rRNA from 1 species
CCUACGGGUGGCAGCAGUGAGGAAUAUUGGUCAAUGGACGAGAGUCUGAACCAGCCACGUAGCGUGAAGGAUGACUGCCCUAUGGGUUGUAAACUUCUUUUAUAUGGGAAUAAAACGUUCCACGUGUGGGAUUUUGUAUGUACCAUAUGAAUAAGGCUCGGCUAACUCCGUGCCAGCAGCCGCGGUAAUACGGAGGAUCCGAGCGUUAUCCGGAUUUAUUGGGUUUAAAGGGAGCGUAGGUGGAUUGUUAAGUCAGUUGUGAAAGUUUGCGGCUGAACCGUAAAAUUGCAGUUGAAACUGGCAGUCUUGAGUACAGUAGAGGUGGGCGGAAUUCGUGGUGUAGCGGUGAAAUGCUUAGAUAUCACGAAGAACUCCGAUUGCGAAGGUAGUUCACUGGACUGCAACUGACACUGAGGCUCGAAAGUGUGGGUAUCAAACAGGAUUAGAUACCCCAGUAGUC